CCCAGUUCCCGGCACCACACAGCUGGAUCCCACUUGCCUCAUGCCCAGUGUGAAGUGUCACUUGGGCCAGCUCAGCCACAGGAUCCCAGCUGUAGCCUGCAGAGACCAGCGAUAGAGGCUGACAUUUGCUCUCUGGCCCUGCCUCCAGGGCACAUAAGGACCACACCAAAAGCAAGAUCCCUUCUCUCUUUCAACCCCUGCAUGAGUUACUAUGAAGAGAAGACCAGUGCGUUCUUGAGAUUAACAUGGUUUUUAAAGGGCAUUGGUAUUGAGAAUAUUGAUGGCAAAAGAGCAUUAUUUUUCCAAAUUUUUUCAGGAUGUGAAUUCAAAUAAUAGCACUUUACUUCAACAUGGAAGUUCACUGCUCAUUGAAAUAGAACAAAGACACUGUUGACUGCAUCUCACCUCAUAUUUCCCACAUCACCAUCGUGGAAAGAAAAGUGGUGCUGCACAGCUGAUGAUAUUGAGCUGUAUUUGUUGAUUCUGUGAGCUGUUUAUAUACUAUCUCAGACCACAAAGAUACAGUCAGCCCUAUAAGGGUAUUGGAAAAGACUGUCCUGGUGGGAAUCUUUCAGCUGAAGUGUGAGUUAUUCAGCUAACAUGGGAUGUUUCAACUGGCCUUGGGAAUCAGUGACAGAGUGAGGCUAGGCUGGAUGUUCUGUGUCAGAGGAGUUACCUAUCUCUUCAGCUUUACAUAUCAAAAAGCACAUGCAGAACAAAUAUGCUUAAAGGAGGUGAAGUAUGCUGUUACUACUGCAAGGAGACAGCAUAAAUAUCCUCAAACUACGCCUAAGUGGAAACUGAAAUCUUCUACCUAGUGCCUGUAUGGGUCACAUCAACUCCAGCCAUUAAUUAACGUACUAAACUCAGAACACAGCUCCCUGUGGCCCCUCUGGGAAGGCCUGAGAGCUGGGAAGGAGGUCAUGCCAUCAGGACCUGGAAUAUGGGUGAGGAUCUGUUAUUUUC
rnacentral:lncRNA from 1 species